CUUGGGGCUCCAUCUCAUGACCCUGAAAUCAUGACCUGAGCCAACAUCAAGAGUCAGACACUUAACUGACUGAGACACCCAGGCCCCCCUUCUGAUGGAUGUUUAAAUGUUUAAAUUUCAAAUAUGGCUAUUUUAGCAUGUGGCAAAAUCACUUAAAAGUAAAGACUUACCAUACUUUGAUUUCUUGCUGAAAUGUCAUUGGAUAGCUGCAGAUUAGUUUACCAAAAGUUGAUUCGCUUGUCAUUUUUUUACUUCCUGAGUUGUUACAGUUUCCAAAUCGGUCUUCCAUCAGUUUUUUAGGAGCUGAGGCACUUAAAAAAUAUGUAGAUUCCCUAGUGUACUUUGGGAAUCUGCAGUGUAAUCUGCUAUCCAGGGCAAUUUAGCCCUCACGCACAGCCUUACCACCCACCCGUAAGUUAGUGACCCAAAGGGCUGACAGCAUCACCCUUUGAGGUCUUGGAAUAUUUACCUGUGAGGUUAAGUUACCUAGAUUCUGUCUCAGUAUGUGAACCCUCCUUCAGAGCAAAGGUUGCAGCUUUUUAUUUUUUUCCAUCCCCCAAACUCUAAUUUUGCUUUUCCAGUAGCAGUGACCCAUUGUGAACUAACAUGCACAGCUCAGCUGCUCCCUUGAAUUUAAAGAAGAUCAUAUGUUUCUGUGCGCAGCAGACCAAAUAGAUUAAUGAAGGAAAAUUUUGGGAAAUGAGACUUUCAUCCAAAAGACAUAUACCUUCCCUGGCAACUAUAAUGAGUGAAAUCGACAUAAUCAGCCCAGCAAUUUAGCUUUGCCCUUUUACCUAAGACUUAGCAAAAUUGCUACUUUCUGCCUUUUUGGUACUUUUUCCAUAUUAGGGAGAUGAGACAUAUAGGAUCCCUCAUGAGGGAAAUGAAAAGCAGCUCACACCUAUAACUUCCCUGACUCUUUCAAGGAUAUCAGAGGAGAAUCUUCAAUCAUCGGCUUAAUAUUUUAGAACCAGCACAGUUAAACCACAAGCUAACUAUGCUUCGAUGUAUAGAACCAACAGUUAUUGGAGACUUAUAAUGAAAAAUGUCCUACGGUGACAAGGGGAUGUGGUGGUUGGUGACUAUUUCUUCCUCUGGAGGGGAACUGACAGAUGCCUAGCUCUUUGGACAAAGGGAGCCCUCCUAGUGGCGUGGGUUGGCCCUUGAUCUGUGUAGGAAUCUCUGAACUGUUGCCUACUGACAAUCAAAUCUGAAAAAUCCAACUCCAACAUGGCUGAACGGCUGAUGGGUCUUUUGAAGUGACAGCCUUUGGAUUAAUUAGAAAUGAAAGCAGCAUGUCACUUCACAUGGAAAGCUGGAAGUGCCCCAUCUAAACAUCCUCCUCAGAUAAUUAAAAUGUGUUGUGUA